AAAUUUCUCCUGCGACAUUUUGAUUGGAUACUAAAUAUAAACUUUGCUGUGGGUGGAAAGCGAUCGGAUUAAGGAUUGUGUAGGAUAGAGCCUGAUCGCAGGUUACUUUAACACCUGUUUCUGUCGUGGAGUCAGUUGCUCGCCAACAACAUUUCCCAUUGUUCGUAAUGUUUAUGCAACUCCCCCGCACGAAAGGAGUGAGGAUUUCGGAUCACCCAACUGGUCUCCACGAAAUACUCGAUUUAACUCUUCAAUAUGUGCGCUGGCGGUGAUCCCCUCAACCUGUGGCCAUGGUUGAGCUCCUUCCACAACCUGAGCAUCAAUCUCAAAAUCAUACUCCCAUUCCCAUGGUAAAUUUCUAACGUGGGCCUAGACGAGGAGAACAAGUAAACCAGUAAAUCAACCGG